AUUGAACGCUGGCGGCAUGCCUUACACAUGCAAGUCGAACGGCAGCACGGGAGCAAUCCUGGUGGCGAGUGGCGAACGGGUGAGUAAAGCAUCGGAACGUGCCCAGUCGUGGGGGAUAACGUAGCGAAAGCUACGCUAAUACCGCAUACGAUCUGUGGAUGAAAGCGGGGGACCGUAAGGCCUCGCGCGAUUGGAGCGGCCGAUGUCAGAUUAGGUAGUUGGUGAGGUAAAGGCUCACCAAGCCGACGAUCUGUAGCUGGUCUGAGAGGACGACCAGACACACUGGGACUGAGACACGGCCCAGACGCCUACGGGAGGAAGCAGUGGGGAAUUUUGGACAAUGGGCGCAAGCCUGAUCCAGCAAUGCCGCGUGCAGGAUGAAGGCCUUCGGGUUGUAAACUGCUUUUGUACGGAGCGAAACGGCUUCCACUAAUACUGGGGGCUAAUGACGGUACCGUAAGAAUAAGCACCGGCUAACUACGUGCCAGCCGCCGCCGUAAUAC
rnacentral:rRNA from 1 species